GACGAACGCUGGCGGCGUGCUUAACACAUGCAAGUCGAACGAUGAAGCCGGAGCUUGCUCUGGUGAAUUAGUGGCGAACGGGUGAGUAACACGUGGGUGAUCUGCCCUGCACUUCGGGAUAAGCCUGGGAAACUGGGUCUAAUACCGGAUAGGACCACUGCCUGCAUGGGUGGUGGUGGAAAGCUUUUGCGGUGUGGGAUGGGCCCGCGGCCUAUCAGCUUGUUGGUGGGGUGAUGGCCUACCAAGGCGACGACGGGUAGCCGGCCUGAGAGGGUGACCGGCCACACUGGGACUGAGAUACGGCCCAGACUCCUACGGGAGGCAGCAGUGGGGAAUAUUGCACAAUGGGCGCAAGCCUGAUGCAGCGACGCCGCGUGAGGGAUGACGGCCUUCGGGUUGUAAACCUCUUUCAGCACAGACGAAGCGCAAGUGACGGUAUGUGCAGAAGAAGGACCGGCCAACUACGUGCCAGCCGCCGCAGUAA
rnacentral:rRNA from 1 species